UGGCGGCGUCUUACACAUGCAAGUCGAACGUGAAGCCCGAUACUAGUAUGGGGUGGAAAGUGGCGAACGGGUGAGUAACACGUUGGUGACCUGCCCCGAGGAGGGGGAUAACCGUGGGAAACCACGGCUAACACCCCGGAUGUCUAAGUUUUUAGAACGCUUAGACUAAAGCUCCGGCGCCUCGGGAGGGGCCUGCGGGCUAUCAGCUUGUUGGUGGGGUAAUGGCCUACCAAGGCUAAGACGGCUAGGGGGCGUGAGAGCGCGAUCCCCCACAAUGGAACUGAGACACGGUCCAUACUCCUACGGGAGGCAGCAGUGAGGAAUAUUGUCCAAUGGGGGAAACCCUGAGACAGCAACGCCGCGUGGACGACGAAGGCCCUCGGGUUGUAAAGUCCUUUUUUGAGGGAAGAUAAUGACGGUACCUCAAGAAUAAGUCCCGGCUAACUACGUGCCAGCAGCCGCGGUAAAACGUAGGGGGCGAGCGUUAUCCGGAUUUAUUGGGCGUAAAGCGCACGUAGGCGGCGCUGUAAGUUGGGCGUGAAAGCUCUCGGCUCAACCGAGAGAGGUCGUUCAAAACUGCAGGGCUUGAGGUUGGAAGAGGAGAGUGGAAUUCCCGGUGUAGUGGUGGAAUGCGUAGAUAUCGGGAGGAACACCAGUGGCGAAGGCGACUCUCUGGUCCACACCUGACGCUGAGGUGCGAAAGCGUGGGGAGCGAACGGGAUUAGAUACCCCGGUAGUCCACGCCGUAAACGAUGGAUACUAGGUGUAGGAGGUUAUUUACCCCUUCUGUGCCGUAGCUAACGCGUUAAGUAUCCCGCCUGGGGACUACGGCCGCAAGGUUAAAACUCAAAGGAAUUGACGGGGGCCCGCACAAGCACGGAGCGUGUGGUUAAUUCGAUGGUACGCGAAAAACCUUACCUGGGCUUACAUGUUGGUAGUAGUGAAGUGAAACCGAACGACCCUUCGGGAACCAUCAAAGGUGCUGCAUGGCUGUCGUCANCUCGUGUCUGAAAUGUUGGGUUAAUCCCGCACGAGCCCAACCUCGUCGUUA
rnacentral:rRNA from 1 species